GCUAACUAGCUAGCCAAACACCUGGACUAAUUUUACAUUAUAAAUAUUCCCUCACAACCUGACAACUUGUGAACAAAUCAUUUUUCCACCUGAG
rnacentral:rRNA from 1 species